rnacentral:ncRNA from 1 species
GUGGGGCAUGGAGCUGGUCGUUCUGAGAUUAUACUGUCUGAACUUGAUCUGGGUAAUUCCAGCGAAAGGACAUGUUACGCUUGAUAU